rnacentral:rRNA from 1 species
UGCAAGUCGAGCGGACAGAAGGGAGCUUGCUCCCGGAUGUUAGCGGCGGACGGGUGAGUAACACGUGGGUAACCUGCCUGUAAGACUGGGAUAACUCCGGGAAACCGGAGCUAAUACCGGAUAGUUCCUUGAACCGCAUGGUUCAAGGAUGAAAGACGGUUUCGGCUGUCACUUACAGAUGGACCCGCGGCGCAUUAGCUAGUUGGUGAGGUAACGGCUCACCAAGGCGACGAUGCGUAGCCGACCUGAGAGGGUGAUCGGCCACACUGGGACUGAGACACGGCCCAGACUCCUACGGGAGGCAGCAGUAGGGAAUCUUCCGCAAUGGACGAAAGUCUGACGGAGCAACGCCGCGUGAGUGAUGAAGGUUUUCGGAUCGUAAAGCUCUGUUGUUAGGGAAGAACAAGUGCAAGAGUAACUGCUUGCACCUUGACGGUACCUAACCAGAAAGCCACGGCUAACUACGUGCCAGCAGCCGCGGUAAUACGUAGGUGGCAAGCGUUGUCCGGAAUUAUUGGGCGUAAAGGGCUCGCAGGCGGUUUCUUAAGUCUGAUGUGAAAGCCCCCGGCUCAACCGGGGAGGGUCAUUGGAAACUGGGAACUUGAGUGCAGAAGAGGAGAGUGGAAUUCCACGUGUAGCGGUGAAAUGCGUAGAGAUGUGGAGGAACACCAGUGGCGAAGGCGACUCUCUGGUCUGUAACUGACGCUGAGGAGCGAAAGCGUGGGGAGCGAACAGGAUUAGAUACCCUGGUAGUCCACGCCGUAAACGAUGAGUGCUAAGUGUUAGGGGUUUCCGCCCCUUAGUGCUGCAGCUAACGCAUUAAGCACUCCGCCUGGGGAGUACGGUCGCAAGACUGAAACUCAAAGGAAUUGACGGGGGCCCGCACAAGCGGUGGAGCAUGUGUUUAAUUUCGAAGCAACGCGAGAACCUUACCAGGUCUGACAUCCUCUGACAACCCUAGAGAUAGGCUUUCCUUCGGGACA